rnacentral:rRNA from 1 species
AGUGAACGCUGGCGGUAGGCCUAACACAUGCAAGUCGAACGGCAGCACAGGAGAGCUUGCUCUCUGGGUGGCGAGUGGCGGACGGGUGAGGAAUACAUCGGAAUCUACUCUGUCGUGGGGGAUAACGUAGGGAAACUUACGCUAAUACCGCAUACGACCUACGGGUGAAAGCAGGGGACCUUCGGGCCUCGCGCGAUUGAAUGAGCCGAUGUCGGAUUAGCUAGUUGGCGGGGUAAAGGCCCACCAAGGCGACGAUCCGUAGCUGGUCUGAGAGGAUGAUCAGCCACACUGGAACUGAGACACGGUCCAGACCCCUACGGGAGGCAGCAGUGGGGAAUAUUGGACAAUGGGCGCAAGCCUGAUCCAGCCAUACCGCGUGGGUGAAGAGGGCCUUCGGGUUGUAAAGCCCUUUUGUUGGGAAAGAAAUCCAGCUGGCUAAUACCCGGUUGGGAUGACGGUACCCAAAGAAUAAGCACCGGCUAACUUCGUGCCAGCCGCCGCAGUAA